GUGCGCGGUGCACAGGUGCAUGGCUCUUAGUGCAAAGGAGUACAGCGCACAGGUGCAGAGGCACAGAGGUGCACACUGCACAAUGCAAAAUGCAGAGCUGCACGGCGCAGAAGUGCAGGGUGCAGAGGUGCACAGUGCACAGCGCAGAGGUGCAGGGCGCAGACUUCAAAGGUGCACAGCGCACAGCUGCAGGCAGAGUUGCACAGGUACAGUGCAGAGUUGCACAUGUGCACCGUGAACGGUGCGUAGUGCACAUUACACAGUGCACAGGUGCGCGGUUCAUGGUGCACAGUGCACAGGUGCAUGGUGCUUGGAGCACAGUGCGUGGUGCACAGGUGUGCAGUCCAGAGUGCAAAGGAGGAGAGUGCAGAGGUACGGAGCUGCAGAGGUGUGCAGUACAUUGGAGCAGUGGUGCACAGUACAUGGUGCAGAGCUUCAGGUUGCAUAGUGCACACUGCAGAGUUGCACGGUGCAGGGUGCAGAGGUGCACAGUGCAGUGGUGUGGGGCACACGGUGCAUAGUGCACGGUGCACAGUGCGGGGUGCAGAGGCACAGGGAGCAGAGGCGGGGUACACAGUGCAUGGUACACGGUGCACAGUGCACAGCACAAAGCUAAACAGUGCAGAUGUGCAUGGUGCACAGGUGUGGGGUGCAGCGGUGCAGGGUGUGUAGGUACUGGGUGUGCAGCACGAGGUGUCAGGGGGCAGAGGUGCACAGCUCAGUGGUGCUGGCUGUGUGCUCCAUGGCGCAGGGUACAGGGGCGCAGAGGACGCAGCGCAGGGGUGCGGAUGUGCACGGGGACGUGGUGCACUGCACACAGCACGGAGCUGCAGGACACACAGCCGUGGCUGUCCCCAGCUCUGCCCCGGCCCUCGGGCUGACAGGACAGUGCACGCACACCCAUCAGGCUGCCCAGUCCUCCUGUCCCCUCGUCCCAGCCAUCUCCUCCACCCGUAGCUGGGGUCCCCUCGGAAACCUUCGCAAUUCCCUGGGUGCUACGAGGGCAUUCGAUGCUUUCCCUAAGGCCCGGGGGUCACUGCUCUCCCCCCUUCCCCAAGACAGGUUCUGCUCGCUCGGUGCCGCAGUGUUUGUGCCAAAAACAUCGGCAGGAAGGUUUAUUUGUAUAACGUAAUCGCUUCCUUCUAAUUGCUUCUUGGUUUCAUGACGCCAGCCCUCCUGAUGUGCAGGAAGUGCUGCCUCCAGUUGGCAGUGCUGAGGAACACGGAAAUCCUUCACGUUUCCAGUUUUGCAUGUAUAGGGCCACCUGUAAGCUCUCAGACCCGGCCUUGCCCCAGCUGCAGCUCCGCAGAGCACCGCUGCUCUCUGACUGCGCCCCACGCAGUACGGGGCAGCCUGGAUGCUGUUGGGGCACCUGGAUGUGGCUGCUGCCAUCACGUUAUCACGGUCUGGAUUAAAAUGCGCUGAAGCCACGGGGCAUGCUGUGCUUUGGGGUUUGGAAGCACGGGAUGGGGAACGGCUGGGACGGAGUCAGAGGGCAGAGGAAGGGUGGGGACAGCCCUGGCGUCCCCCAGGCCGUGGGGACCCCAAGCCUUGGGACUGGGCAAUGGCAACAAGAGGGCAGUGACACUGGGUCAGGAGCUUGUCCCUGCCCUUUGCUUCCUCCCCUUGUUCCAGGAGGCAGAGCUAUGGACAAGAAGAAGCUGUCGUUAAAUUCUACUCC